rnacentral:rRNA from 1 species
UACGAAGGGGGCUAGCGUUGCUCGGAAUUACUGGGCGUAAAGCGCACGUAGGCGGCUUCUUAAGUCGGUGGUGAAAUCCUGGAGCUCAACUCCAGAACUGCCUUCGAUACUGGGAAGCUCGAGUCCGGGAGAGGUGAGUGGAACUGCGAGUGUAGAGGUGAAAUUCGUAGAAUAUUCGCAAGAACACCAGUGGCGAAGGCGGCUCACUGGCCCGGUACUGACGCUGAGGUGCGAAAGCGUGGGGAGCAAACAGGG